AAUACGUUCCCAGACCUUGCACACACCGCCCGUCAAGCCAUGGAAGCUGGGUGUACCUAAAGUCGGUAACCGUAAGGAGCCGCCUAGGGUAAAACUAGUGACUGGGGCU
rnacentral:rRNA from 1 species